AUUGAACGCUGGCGGCAGGCCUAACACAUGCAAGUCGAACGAGUGGCGGACGGGUGAGUAAUGUCUGGGAAACUUCCUGAUGGAGGGGGAUCACUAAUUGAAACGGUCUAUAAUACCGCAUACCCUAGGAUUUGCCCAGAUGGGAUUCGCUAGUAGGUGGGUUAAAGGCUCACCUAGGCGACGAUCCCUAGCUGGUCUUGGAUGAUGACCAGCAACACUGGAACGGAGCAACGGUCAAGACUCCUACGGGGGGAAGCAGUGGGUAAUAUGGCACAAGGGGCGCAAGCCUGAUGCAGCCAUGCCGCGUGUAUGAAGAAGGCCUUCGGGUGGUAAAGUACUUUCAGCGGGGAGGCGUUACCCAAAGAAGAAGCACCGGCUAACUCCGUGCCAGCAGCCGCGGUAAUAC
rnacentral:rRNA from 1 species